UCGUGACACUUUGAGAGUCGCUCGGGGUUCUUCUCCAAACGUCGGCGGAACCGCAAAGUAGUUGUCAAAAUGGCGGGUGAAGGUUCUACGGCCGUGAAUCCAAAUUGCGAGAUCGUUCGCGGUCAAACGUUCGAAGUUGGUCCGCGUUAUACAAAUUUAUCGUAUAUGGGCGAGGGUGCAUAUGGAAUGGUCGUAUCCGCUUAUGAUAAUGUAACAAAAACAAAAGUAGCUAUUAAGAAAAUUUCUCCUUUUGAACAUCAAACGUAUAGCCAAAGAACAUUAAGAGAGAUUAAAAUUUUGACAAGGUUUAAACAUGAAAAUAUAAUAGAUAUAAGAGAUAUAUUAAGGGCACCUACCAUAGAGCAAAUGAAAGAUGUUUAUAUUGUUCAAUGUCUGAUGGAAACUGAUUUAUAUAAGCUUUUAAAAACACAAGCUAUUAGUAAUGAUCAUAUAUGUUAUUUUCUCUAUCAAAUACUUCGUGGAUUAAAAUACAUACAUUCUGCAAAUGUAUUGCAUAGAGAUCUCAAACCAAGCAAUUUACUUUUGAAUACCACCUGUGACCUUAAAAUUUGUGACUUUGGUUUGGCUAGAGUCGCAGAUCCAGAACACAAUCAUGCUGGAUUUCUUACAGAAUAUGUUGCUACAAGAUGGUAUAGAGCACCAGAGAUAAUGCUUAAUUCUAAGGGAUAUACAAAAUCUAUAGAUAUUUGGUCGGUAGGUUGUAUUCUCGCUGAAAUGUUAUCGCGAAGAGCAAUAUUUCCCGGUAAACAUUACUUGGAUCAGCUUAAUCAUAUUCUUGGUGUAAUUGGAUCACCAUCAGAAGAAGAUUUAGAAUGUGUCAUAAAUGAGAAAGCACGUAAUUAUCUUGAAUCAUUACCAUUCAAACCAAAGGUACCAUGGACAAGUUUGUUUCCAAAGGCUGAUCCAAGGGCAUUAGAUUUGUUGGAUAAAAUGCUUACAUUUAAUCCUAAUAAACGGAUCGUAGUCGAUGAAGCUUUAGCACAUCCAUAUUUGGAACAAUACUAUGAUCCAUCCGAUGAGAGUAUUAUAAUGGAAUUUAUGGAGAUUAUUACUUUUCUAAGCCUGUCGCAGAGGAACCAUUUAAAUUUGAUAUGGAGUUGGAUGAUCUUCCAAAAGAGAUUUUAAAGAAGUAUAUAUUUGAGGAAACAUUACUAUUUCAGAAAAAUCAUCAACAACAAAAUGCGAUUUAGUUUAUUGCUAGUUACGACGAUUUCAGCUACAAUUACAAGCUCCACAGGAUGACCAAAAAAAAAAAAAAAAAGAGGAUAAGAAUGGUGUGAUAAAGAAGUAAUUAAAAAUAUACUUCCUACAGCUAAUCUAAGCUGGUCUGUCUAAUGACUAAGAGAUACAGGAACAAGGAAAUUGGUUAAAGGUUAGUCCUGCAGUUAACAAUCAAUCAUUCGGGCAACGAGAUUUAGCCGUUAUGCCCAAACAUACACUUGUACAUUCACACGUCUCUACCGGAAAAGAAAAGGAAAAGAAAAAAAAAAUAAUACAGUGUUUUUUUUUGUUACAUGGAACGUAUGUGUAUAUAUAUAUAUAUAUAUAUAUAUAUAUAUGUGUGUGUGUGUAUAUAUAUAUGUAUAUGUAUAUAUAUAUAUAUAUAUAUAUAAUUUUAAUUUGUAUAAUAAGUUUUAUUUAUCCCUAAUUAUACACACAUUAUGCUAAUUAACGAUUUAUUGUUAAUCAUCGUCAUUACACUGUCUGUGAUCUAAUUACCGAGUAAAUGAAGCGGUUGA